CUUGAGGGAGUGUAGGGUCAGAGGCUACGUCACAGGAGACACUUGUGAAGGCAAUGCCAGCCUGCCACCUGAGCAUCACCCAGUGGAAGAGAUAACAUAAUAAUAAGAUAAUAAUAGAAUGUACUUCCAGCAUCUUUGGUGAAGCCUAACCUUCCAGAUGUCUGCGUACAUGCAGAGUUCAAUGGAGUUGAGGGAAGAUGUCAUCAUUUCAGAAAAUGAGACCUCAGACAAUUGAGAAUGUACAUUCCAAAUACACUCAACCAGAAGAAAUGUCGAGAUAUCCACCUGGAACUGAACUAGGAAGCUUCCUCCUUGCCAAGUAGCUUUUAUAGUACCAUAAAGUGCAGUGCAGACUUCUGAGGGAGAACAGGCAUCAGUGAGAACUGCCAGCCUGCCAGCUCACCAUUCAUUAUUAUUCUGAUGGUUGCAUCUGCUAAAGACUACAGCUGCUUGGCAGUCUAAGCUCAUCUAAAUCACCUGGUGAAUGCAUGCAGCUCAGCACUGAGAUCUUUCUAACUGAUGGGGAAAAACACUGACCCGAAGGCACAACAGGUGACACCGUGUGUUUCAGAAUUCACCAGGCUUUGUCCUUCAGUGACCGUGCUUCAAUCAAGUCUCUCCAGCUGCUGCGAGCCACGCUGCCAGCUGGCAAAACCAAAAUCCCCCUUCGACUCCAGGAGUCAUCCACCCUCCAAAGCCCAGCUAACAGCCUGCAGAGUGAUGAACUCGCUGGGUUCUGAGUCAUUCACCUUGAACCAGUCAUCAAUGUAAUGCUGCGAGAUGCUUUCCGCAUUCUGUGCGGAAGGCAGAGGAACAGUGUUCAGGGGUGGAGGAAGUCUCCUCCCGUGUUCAGCUGC